UAAGACGUAGGGGGCAAGCGUUGUCCGGAUUUAUUGGGCGUAAAGGGCUCGUAGGCGGCUUAGCAAGUCAGGUGUGAAACCUCCAGGCUUAACCUGGAGACGCCAUUUGAGACUGCUAUGGCUAGAGUGCGGUAGGGGACCAUGGAAUCUCCGGUGUAGCGGUGAAAUGCGCAGAUAUCGGAGGGAACACCAGUGGCGAAGGCGGUGGUCUGGGCCGUAACUGACGCUGAGGAGCGAAAGCGUGGGUAGCAAACAGGAUUAGAUACCCUGGUAGUCCACGCCGUAAACGUUGGGCACUAGGUGUGGGGUCCUAUCGACGGACUCCGUGCCGUAGCUAACGCAUUAAGUGCCCCGCCUGGGGAGUACGGCCGCAAGGCUA
rnacentral:rRNA from 1 species